UACGGAGGGGGCGAGCGUUAUUCGGAAUUAUUGGGCGUAAAGGGCGCGUAGGCGGUUCGACAAGUCAAAGGUGAAAUCCCUCGGCUCAACUGAGGAACUGCCUUUGAAACUGUCGAGCUCGAGUCCGGGAGGGGGUAGCGGAAUUCCCAGUGUAGCGGUGAAAUGCGUAGAUAUUGGGAGGAACACCGGUGGCGAAGGCGGCUACCUGGACCGGAACUGACGCUGAUGCGCGAAAGCGUGGGUAGCAAACAGG
rnacentral:misc_RNA from 1 species